rnacentral:lncRNA from 1 species
AGCGAUUCAGCUGUAACAUGAUUUGAAAUAUGCAAUCAAUGUAAACGAAGAAAAAUAUUUUGAAUGCAGUGUAUAAACCAUGUGGUUCCUUAGACAUAUUUUUAGGAAAAGAAAAAAAGAUGAUGAUUGUCAUGCCAUAUAACAAUAAUGCUACUGGAAAUAUAUGCAGCAGCUUUAUUUUCUGUCACGGUGAAGACAAUCUUAAGCCUUGGUCAUUUAAAUCAAAGACAUUCUCAUCUCUUCUGUGUAGCUGAUUCUUCAUGACAUAACAAGAAAUGAGGGGGAUAAGGAGUAAUAAGGCCUGAAAUCUUGGCUUAAUGUUGUAUUUAAAAUGUAUAAAGCAAGUUCAAAAAGAUACUUCCCUAGUUUUAGUAGUAAAUAUUUAUUAAACAGAAAAACCUUCGAUGAAGUACUCUCCAAAACGACUUUACUAAUGGAGCUAUAAUUCGUUAAGGAUCUAGAAGUGUUGUAACAGUCUUGAAUUAGAGAUGCCUUAGGUUGUCCUGUAAGUCACUGGACUGUCUGUUGUGCAGACUGCCUUAUAUCCUACUGAUUUGCUACCCCUGGAUCCUGCAGGUGUACUAGCCAGAGAGCCAAGCUGGAUGGCAUACAGUAAAGAGUCUGCAAGAGCUUCCAUCAUCCAUCGAUAGAAGAAUUAAACUUUGCUGCACUCCAGCUAGCUAGGUACUUCAUCCUCCUCUGAUAGAGGAAAGCAUCUGUG